rnacentral:tRNA from 1 species
UAGGUUGUAGUUCAAUGGUUGAGCGUCUGGCCGUUAACCAGAAAGUAGUAGGAUCAAUACCUGCCAAUCUAG